rnacentral:rRNA from 1 species
CGGACGGGUGAGUAACGCGUGAAUUACAUGCCCUGCAGAGGGGGAUAGCCCAGGGAAACUUGGAUUAAUACCCCAUGGUAUCGCGAGAUUAAAGGUGGCCGCAAGGCUGUCGCUGCAGGAUUGGUUCGCGCCCUAUCAGCUUGUUGGUGAGGUAACGGCUCACCAAGGCUACGACGGGUACCUGGUCUGAGAGGACGAUCAGGCACUCUGGAAGUGAGACACGGUCCAGACACCUACGGGUGGCAGCAGUCGAGAAUAAUUCACAAUGGGGGCAACCCUGAUGGUGCAACGCCGCGUGGAGGAUGAAGGUCUUCGGAUUGUAAACUCCUGUCAUCCGGGAGUAAGACCUGGCGAUGAAUAGUCGACAGGGUUGAUAGUACCGGAAGAGGAAGGGUCGGCUAACUUCGUGCCAGCAGCCGCGGUAAUACGAAGGUCCCGAGCGUUGUUCGGAAUCACUGGGCGUAAAGGGAGCGUAGGCGGCGUGGUAAGUCAGAUGUGAAAUCCCGGGGCUCAACCCCGGAACUGCAUCCGAUACUGCCGUGCUAGAGGAUUGGAGAGGUAGCUGGAAUUCACGGUGUAGCAGUGAAAUGCGUAGAUAUCGUGAGGAACACUCGUGGCGAAAGCGAGCUACUGGACAACUCCUGACGCUGAGGCUCGAAGGCCAGGGUAGCGAAAGGGAUUAGAUACCCCUGUAGUC